UGGGGAAUAUUGCGCUAAUGCGCGAAAGCGUGACGCAGCGACGCCGCGUGGGGGAUGAAGGCCUUCGGGUUGUAAACCCCUUUCGCCAGGGACGAAGCGAAAGUGACGGUACCUGGAGAAGAAGUCCCGGCUAACUACGUGCCAGCAGCCGCGGUAACACGUAGGGGACGAGCGUUGUCCGGAUUCAUUGGGCGUAAAGCGCGCGUAGGCGGUCGUGCAAGUCGGUUGUGAAAUCCCGGGGCUCAACCCCGGGACUGCGUCCGAUACUGCACGACUGGAGGCAGGUAGGGGAGAUCGGAAUUCCUGAUGUGGCGGUGAAAUGCGCAGAUAUCAGGAGGAACACCGGUGGCGAAGGCGGAUCUCUGGGCCUUGCCUGACGCUGAGGCGCGAAAGCUAGGGGAGCGAACAGGAUUAGAUACCCUGGUAGUCCUAGCCGUAAACGUUGGGUGCUAGGUGUGGGCGGACAUCGACCCCGUCCGUGCCGAAGCUAACGCAUUAAGCACCCCGCCUGGGGA
rnacentral:rRNA from 1 species